UACGUAGGGGGCUAGCGUUGUCCGGAAUCAUUGGGCGUAAAGCGCGCGUAGGCGGCCCGGUAAGUCCGCUGUAAAAGUCAAAGGCUCAACCUUUGAAUGUCAGUGGAUACUGCCAGGCUAGAGUCCGGAAGAGGCGAGUGGAACUCCUGGUGUAGCGGUGGAAUGCGCAGAUAUCAGGAAGAACACCGACGGCGAAGGCAGCUCGCUGGGACGGUACUGACGCUGAGGCGCGAAAGCGUGGGGGAGCGAACAGG
rnacentral:rRNA from 1 species